AAUUGGAGUGAUGAAACUUAAACCUUAGGUAGAUGCACCAGACCGUUUUGGUCUCUUCCUGUGUCUGCCAAUGCUGGGGUUUGUCAUAGUUACACUGACCACGU
rnacentral:snoRNA from 1 species